rnacentral:rRNA from 1 species
AGGGAAUAUUGCAAAAUGGGCGAAAGCCCGAUGCAGCAACGCCGCGUGGGCGAUGAAGGCCUUCGGGUCGUAAAGCCCUUUUUGAGGGGAUGAGGAAGGACAGUACCCUCAGAAUAAGCCUCGGCUAACUACGUGCCAGCAGCCGCGGUAAAACGUAGGAGGCGAGCGUUAUCCGGAUUUACUGGGCGUAAAGCGCGUGCAGGCGGAUUGGAGAGUUGGAUGUGAAGGCUCCCGGCUUAACUGGGAGAGGUCGUUCAAUACUUCCAGUCUUGAGUGCAGUAGAGGGAAGUGGAAUUCCGGGUGUAGUGGUGAAAUGCGUAGAUAUCCGGGGGAACACCAGUGGCGAAAGCGGCUUCCUGGACUGUAACUGACGCUCAGACGCGAAAGCUAGGGUAGCAAACG